GUCAGCAGCCUCAGUAUUCUUUCUUACAACAAGAACUUUUUUUCAAAAUGAAGUAGUUCCAGUAAUGUCUGAAGCUUAUGAAGAAGAAAAUCAGCCCAUCCUACUGCAGCUCUUAAGUUCAUCCACCAGAUGAGCCAAAAAAGUAUUAGAGGCUUUGAUCUACUUCAAGUCUGCUGCAAGCAUGACAGAAGAGCACCCUCCUUCAUCAAUGCCCUGAAGCAACAGCAACUUGAUGUGGAAGUUUUCUUCCAGAUGACAAAUGUUGACUGAAUAGAGCAGGGGGAUUUGGCAAUGGAAUAAUUUUUAAGUAACUGGGAGCAUCAGAACAUGUUUAAUAAUAUGCAGUUUUGCAGGUUGUGUAUAAUGUGAAAAUCUGACAAAUUUCAAGUUGCCAUGACAGCUUUGUCAUAGAAACUGUACACUUUCAUAUGGAAAUGGUGACAGAAGUGAUGUGUGAGUUUCUGAAGUAAUCAGUAGAUGAGAUGGCACUGGGGACAGGGAGACAUUUUGGCAACCAAAAGGGAAAAUGUUACAAAAUGGAGAGAAAGAGAGAGAUUUGGGAUGCUAGAGAGGGUGUCAGCCUGCAGCCUCUGUGCUGGAGGGACUGGUGGGAGGAGAAGCAGCAAGCAAGGGCCCAGAAGCAGAGGUCAUGGGUGGACAUUAAUAGUUCUCAGUGGGAGGACAUAGAAGAAAGCUUGAAAGCUGUUCAGAAUGCAAGUAGCAAGACAUCCAGUCAGGAAGCAUUAAAUAGCUUCUAGGAGCAUUGUGUGCCAGGCCAAUUCAUGUGAACAGGUUCCUGCACAUUAUGCAGCCCAUAACUCAGUCCCAUGGUUACAAGCAGGAUAUAGAGAAGCCCAGCAUGGAGAUGGGGAGGGAGGAAAGCAUUUUGGGUCCACAAACCACAAGGGGCUGAAACCAGGCAAAACAAUUAACAUGAAUUGAAGGAGG